GCCUUACCCUUCCGUGAACUCGGCUCAGGGCCUUCACCCUUCCAGUAGCGCUUGGGGGGCGUGCCUGUUCUCUGCCCGGAGAGUCGGGAUCAGAUUCUAUCAGCGCGCACUGAGUCUCCGAUACAUCCCUAUCUUGGGACGGCCUAGGCAGUGCGUGCGAAAGCGCUUUCUCCACUGAAGCGGCAAAGGCCGCGUUAAUCGUAGCCUGUAGGCUCUCUUGGGUAGGAGCGUCCAUCC